CAGAACGAACGCUGGCGGCAGGCUUAACACAUGCAAGUCGAGCGCGUAGCAAUACGAGCGGCAGACGGGUGAGUAACGCGUGGGAAUCUACCCAACCCUACGGAAUAACGCAUGGAAACGUGUGCUAAUACCGUAUACGCCCUUUGGGGGAAAGAUUUAUCGGGGAUGGAUGAGCCCGCGUUGGAUUAGCUAGUUGGUGGGGUAAUGGCCUACCAAGCCUACGAUCCAUAGCUGGUUUGAGAGGAUGAUCAGCAACACUGGGACUGAGACACGGCCCAGACUCCUACGGGAGGCAGCAGUGGGGAAUCUUAGACAAUGGGCGCAAGCCUGAUCUAGCCAUGCCGCGUGAGCGAUGAAGGCCUUAGGGUUGUAAAGCUCUUUCAGAUGGGAAGAUAAUGACGGUACCAUCAGAAGAAGCCCCGGCUAACUCCGUG
rnacentral:rRNA from 1 species